GGGGGCGUUUUGGAUUCGACGGGGGUUGUUCGAGCAUGUACGGCGGGCCGUGGGGCUGCGCACACGUUAAUCACGCGGAACUUCUUUAACUGGCAAAGCUAAUCGCUUUACCUCAAACAGCAAUCUCGCUCUCGCUGCCUAAUUAGGUAACGGGACCGUUACAUCGUGUGUCGCCUGUGCACACCCUGUAACGUCAACUUAGCGGGCUAGUCGAUGGUCAUGUUCGUGGGCCACCGGCGAAACUUACACGAACUUGCCUGUACAUCAGCGUGAUCGUCCGCGGAUGGCAGGGACUCUUGUAGACGGUCUACGCCCGUAGAUGUGCAUGUAGCGAGAUCUUCGGACGCGGGUUCGAUUCCCGUCGCCUCCACCA
rnacentral:tmRNA from 1 species